UACGUAGGGAGCGAGCGUUGUCCGGAUUCAUUGGGCGUAAAGAGCUCGUAGGCGGCUUGGUAAGUCGGAUGUGAAACCUCCAGGCUCAACCUGGAGUCGCCAUCCGAUACUGCCAUGGCUAGAGUCCGGUAGGGGCCCACGGAACUCCUGGUGUAGCGGUGAAAUGCGCAGAUAUCAGGAAGAACACCCGUGGCUAAGGCGGCUCUCUAGUAGCGGUACUGACGCUGAGACGCGAAAGCGUGGGGAGCGAACAGG
rnacentral:rRNA from 1 species